rnacentral:rRNA from 1 species
UACGUAGGGUGCAAGCGUUGUCCGGAAUUAUUGGGCGUAAAGAGCUCGUAGGCGGUUUGUUGCGUCGGCUGUGAAAUCCCGAGGCUCAACCUCGGGUCUGCAGUCGAUACGAGCAAACUAGAGUGUUGCAGGGGAGACUGGAAUUCCUGGUGUAGCGGUGAAAUGCGCAGAUAUCAGGAGGAACACCGGUGGCGAAGGCGGGGUCUCUGGGCCGAACUGACGUGCGUGGAGGAGCGAAAGCGUGGGGAGCGAACAGG